UACGUAGGGUGCGAGCGUUAAUCGGAAUUACUGGGCGUAAAGCGUGCGCAGGCGGUUUGGUAAGACAGAUGUGAAAUCCCCGGGCUUAACCUGGGAAUUGCAUUUGUGACUGCCCGGCUAGAGUGUGUCAGAGGGGGGUAGAAUUCCACGUGUAGCAGUGAAAUGCGUAGAUAUGUGGAGGAGUACCGAUGGCGAAGGCAGCCCCCUGGGAUAACACUGACGCUCAUGCACGAAAGCGUGGGGAGCAAACAGG
rnacentral:rRNA from 1 species